rnacentral:rRNA from 1 species
UACGAGGGGGGCAAGCGUUGUUCGGAGGUAUUGGGCGUAAAGGGCGCGUAGGCGGUGCGGUAAGUCACCUGUGAAACCUCUAGGCUCAACCUAGAGCCUGCAGGCGAAACUGCCGUGCUUGAGGGUGGGAGAGGUGCGUGGAAUUCCCGGUGUAGCGGUGAAAUGCGUAGAUAUCGAGAGGAACACCUGUGGCGAAAGCGGCGCACUGGACCACAUCUGACGCUGAGGCGCGAAAGCUAGGGGAGCAAACAGG